GACGAACGCUGGCGGCGUGCCUAAUACAUGCAAGUCGAACGGUAGGGCCUUGCUUUUGUGGGGUGUUCGAGUGGAGAACGGGUGAGUAUCACGUGAGUAACCUGCCCUUGACUGUGGGAUAACUUCAGGAAACUGGGGCUAUUACCGGAUAGGAGCUCCUGAUGCAUGGGGGGGGUUGGAAAGUUUCGGCGGUUGGGGAUGGACUUGCGGCUUAUCAGUUUGUUGGUGGGGUAGUGGCUUACCAAUGCUUUGAUGGGUAGCCGGCCUGAGAGGGUGACCGGCCACAUUGGGCCUGGGAUGGGGCCCAGACUCCUACGGGGGGCAGAAGUGGAAAAUAGUGCACAAUGGGCGGAAGCCUGAUACAGCAACGCCGCGUGCGGAAUGACGGCCUUCAGGUUGUAAACCGCUUUCGCCUGUAACGAAGCGUGAGUGACGGUAAUUGGUAAAGAAGCACCGGCUAACUACGUG
rnacentral:rRNA from 1 species